rnacentral:misc_RNA from 1 species
UUAAGUUCAGCGGGUAUCCCUACCUGAUCCGAGGUCAAACGAAUGAAUGGCUUAAUGGGAGUUGGUAGGCUGGAGCCGCUGCGCAAUGUGCUGCGCACGAAGCCAAAUCUACUAGCUGCCAAUGAAUUUGAGGCGAGUCCACGCACAGAGGCGGGACAAUCACCCAACACCAAGCUUAGCUUGAAGGAUUUCUAAUGACG